rnacentral:rRNA from 1 species
UCGGGAAUAUUGCGCAAUGGAGGAAACUCUGACGCAGUGACGCCGCGUAUAGGAAGAAGGUUUUCGGAUUGUAAACUAUUGUCGUUAGGGAAGAUAAAAGACUGUACCUAAGGAGGAAGCCCCGGCUAACUAUGUGCCAGCAGCCGCGGUAAUACAUAGGGGGCAAGCGUUAUCCGGAAUUAUUGGGUGUAAAGGGUGCGUAGACGGAAGAACAAGUUGGUUGUGAAAUCCCUCGGCUCAACUGAGGAACUGCAACCAAAACUAUUCUCCUUGAGUGUCGGAGAGGAAAGUGGAAUUCCUAGUGUAGCGGUGAAAUGCGUAGAUAUUAGGAGGAACACCAGUGGCGAAGGCGACUUUCUGGACGAUAACUGACGUUGAGGCACGAAAGUGUGGGGAGCAA